rnacentral:rRNA from 1 species
GACGAACGCUGGCGGCGUGCUUAACACAUGCAAGUCGAACGGAAAGGCCCUGCUUUUGUGGGGUGCUCGAGUGGCGAACGGGUGAGUAACAAGUGAGUAACCUGCCCUUGACUUUGGGAUAACUUCAGGAAACUGGGGCUAAUACCGGAUAGGGGCUCCUGCUGCAUGGUGGGGGUUGGAAAGUUUCGGCGGUUGGGGAUGGACUCGCGGCUUAUCAGCUUGUUGGUGGGGUAGUGGCUUACCAAGGCUUUGACGGGUAGCCGGCCUGAGAGGGUGACCGGCCACAUUGGGACUGAGAUACGGCCCAGACUCCUACGGGAGGCAGCAGUGGGGAAUAUUGCACAAUGGGCGGAAGCCUGAUGCAGCAACGCCGCGUGCGGGAUGACGGCCUUCGGGUUGUAAACCGCUUUCGCCUGUGACGAAGCGUGAGUGACGGUAAUGGGUAAAGAAGCACCGGCUAACUACGUG